UACCAGCACCCCGAGUGGUCGGGACGUUUAUUGGGCCUAAAGCGUCCGUAGCCGGUUCUACAAGUCUUCCGUUAAAUCCACCUGCUUAACAGAUGGGCUGCGGAAGAUACUAUAGAGCUAGGAGGCGGGAGAGGCAAGCGGUACUCGAUGGGUAGGGGUAAAAUCCGUUGAUCCAUUGAAGAACACCAGUGGCGAAGGCGGCUUGCCAGAACGCGCUCGACGGUGAGGGAUGAAAGCUGGGGGAGCAAACCGG
rnacentral:rRNA from 1 species